AAAACCCUUGAAUGAGAAAGUGUGUCCAAACUUUUGACUGGUGCUCUGUAUCAUGGCCAUUAAUUUCAAAUAAUCAUGAAAAUGCUUUCCAACACUUCUGUCUACAGGAUCUGCCCCUCUUCUGGCAAGGCUCCGAAUUUGUCAUUAUGAAAUAUUCUUGGGUCAUCCUGCAUAAUCUGGAACAACCCAACAGCAAAACGUGAUCUUAAUCUGAUCACCCUGUUGUUGCAGGACCAACAAUGAGUUAAAUCAUGGCUUUACCUUCUCCCUAUUGAUGUUGUCAGGAAAAGUGACACCUUUGUCACCCAAGAAGUGUAGUAGGCGCUACCUCUAUUUCCUUCUUUGCCUCUGGACUAAACCUUUCAAAUAGGAAAAAUAAAAACGUCUUGGAGUUAGAUACUGUAAGUAUAUAAGUAAAUGAUCUGCUGUAAACAUGGUGUAUAUGUGGUGUCACUGUAAAGCAUCAGACAUAAUAUAAGGCACCAUGUGAUUUUCAAAUACCUUAGAUGACAUACAAUACCUACCUGGAGGUCGACAUACUUAGUUCCAUGCAACUUAAGUUCAUACAGUUGUGGUCUUCAUGUUCACAAAAUGUUCUGUCAACAUAUUGUAAUGCUCACCUACUUCUCAUUUGUAAAAUACGUCAAUGAAUGUUGCCAUCAGCACAAAGGAGACGUUUGGAAUAUUGUGGAUGAAGUUGACCAAUGCCGCUGAGUUAUCCAGGCCUAUAUGUUCCAGACAGAGGCAGGACAAGCAGUGUUGACAAGUAUGUUGGUUAUUAAUGAUCAACACCCAAACACUGACCCUGCCCCCCUCAUGUGUGCUACACAAGCUGUCCUCAUCAUAAUGUGUUCCACAUCCCACAAGGGGGCCGUCGUAAGCCAACAGGGCUCCGUAGUUAAUGUGUGGUGAACCAUAAUGGAGGACGGUUCAUGCUUGGUAACGUAAAUGCUUCAGAUCAGGAAGUCUGGCCUGCCCCUUUCCAUUCUUAGAUCUGUUGUUUUUACAUCCUUUAUCCCCUCUUAAGUUACAAUGCAGUAGGGGCUGUGUGUUUAUUGUGUCACACACACUUUUUAUGGCGGUAUUGGAGCAGUGGCUUCUUCCUUGCUGAGCGGCCUUUCAGGUUAUGUCGAUAUAGGACUCAUUUUACUGUGGAAAUAGAUACUUUUGUACCUGUUUCCUCCAGCAUCUUCACAAGGUCCUUUGCUGUUGUUGUUCUGGGAUUGAUUUGCACUUUUCGCACCAAAGUAUGUUCAUCUCUAAGAGACAGAACACGUCUCCUUCCUGAGCAGUAGGAAGGCUGCGUGGUCCCAUGAUGUUUAUAGUUGUGUGCUACUGUUUGUACAGAUGAACGUGGUACCUUCAGGCAUUUGGAAAUUGCUCCCAAGGAUGAACCAGACUUGUGGAGGUCUGCAAUUUUUUUCUGAGGUCCUGAGAGGCCCUGAGUUUGAAGGGAAAAGGUGGCACCAAAGUACCAGGCAAGACCACAGAAGAUUUGCGGACUGUACACUGACACAAACCAGGCAACUGCCAUAAAUGACAAUCAUGGUUAUGCUAGAGUAAGAAAGUUAAUUUAAAAAACGAAAUACAUUUGAUGUUCAGAUGGUCUUAUAAAAUGUGGUCUCGUUACACUCUUCAAAAAUGCAGAUAAACAUCAGAUGAACAUUCAGAAAAUACAAUGUCUCAUAGUAAUGUUGUGUGCAGAUCUAUGAUCAGGUCCCCCCUGUCCAUAUAAUCAUUUUCAUUAUGAUCUGCACCUACCCUGAGACGCUUUAUGAGGGCCCUGGAGGAUAGGAUAAAAUGUCAAUAGAUACUGUAUAGGCCUAUUAGCCCAUCUUACCUCAGGGUGGUGCUCCAACAUCUAUACUAAGAAACAUUUGAUUUUGCUGUGCAUACCACCUAGUCAACCCUCAAGCCCUAUAUUGUGUUCUGCUGACCUAAAUAUUUCUAGCUCUCCCUUCUCUCUUUUCCACUCCGCUCUCUCCGUCUUCUCCUUUCUCUCCCCUUUUCCUCUCCUCUCCCUCCUCCCUCUCCUCUCUCCCCUCUCUCUGCUGAUUCACAGCUCAUUGAGCCUGGCUUGCUAAUUGGCAGAUGCUCAGUCACAGAGGCUGCAUCUGCUACCUGUUUGUACCAAUUAACAGGCCCAUGACACAGCAAUGACACCUCUUCAAUGGCUUAACAGAUGCUGCAAUUAGGCACUAAUUUGAAUGGCCGCCUGUUUAGCAUGAGGACCCUCGUUGGCGCUGCAUCAUCCAAGCCAGGGGACCACCCGCUUGCCUUUCAUCUAUGUGCUGUUUUUGAUGCCUCUCUCUCUUAAACGAGGCAUGGGAAGGCAUGGAAGGGAAACCCUGGUGUGUUGACAAACAAACGCUCAGCGAUGGGCUAGAUUAGCCCUCUACAUAUUUCAUAAUCGUCAGUGGUCAGUGGUUAAGAUAGAUGGGUAUACAGUACAUUCGGAUGGGUAGAGAAAUGGAAAAGGUCAAAGUAGUUAUGUGCCAUCUGUUUUCUUUGGUCCCCAUUGGCCUCGAUACAGUGCAUUACUGUAACAUGGCCAUCUAUGGGAAGGUCACAGGACCAGUCUUCCAUGGCCUGCAUUCUCACCAGUCUUCCAUGGCCAUGCAUUCUCACCAGUCUUCCAUGGCCUGCAUUCUCACCAGUCUUCCAUGGCCUGCAUUCUCACCAGUCUUCCAUGGCCAUGCAUUCUCACCAGUCUUCCAUGGCCUGCAUUCUCACCAGUCUUCCAUGGCCUCCAUUCUCACCAGUCUUCCAUGGCCUGCAUUCUCACCAGUCUUCCAUGGCCUGCAUUCUCACCAGUCUUCCAUGGCCAUGCAUUCUCACCAGUCUUCCAUGGCCUGCAUUCUCACCAGUCUUCCAUGGCCUGCAUUCUCACCAGUCUUCCAUGGCCUGCAUUCUCACCAGUCUUCCAUGGCCAUGCAUUCUCACCAGUCUUCCAUGGCCUGCAUUCUAACCAAUGCAUUUAUUUCAAUUGACUGAUUUCCUUAUAUGAACUUUAACUCAGUAACAUCUUUGAAAUUGUUGCAUUUUGCAUUUAUAUUUCUGUUCAGUAUAGAUGUAUGCAGACUUGCAGUUCAAUGAAGGUUUAAGAAAGAAAUACAAAUGCAAGGGAAAUGUAAAUAAAAGUUCAAGAAAUUGUCU